UACGAAGGGGGCUAGCGUUGCUCGGAAUCACUGGGCGUAAAGGGUGCGUAGGCGGGUCUUUAAGUCAGGGGUGAAAUCCUGGAGCUCAACUCCAGAACUGCCCUUGAUACUGAAGAUCUUGAGUUCGGGAGAGGUGAGUGGAACUGCGAGUGUAGAGGUGAAAUUCGUAGAUAUUGCAAGAACACCAGUGGCGAAGGCGGCUUUCGACUGG
rnacentral:rRNA from 1 species